rnacentral:tRNA from 1 species
GCGGUCGUGGUGGAAUGGCAGACACGCUGUCUUGAGGGGGCAGUGGGAGAAAGUCCCGUGUGGGUUCAAAUCCCACCGGCCGCA